UUGGAAUAUCAUAUCUAAAGAUAUGACCUGAAAGCUAAGGACCUAAAGUAGAUCUCAAGAAAGCCAACGGAAGGCUUGGAAAGAUUUCCUGGAACUACAAACAGCUCUGCCUGGCAGGAAACCUGUUUGACUGUCCCCUGGGUCAGGACAUGUGGCACCCGAACAGGGACCCUGAGUAGAAGGAUCCAGUAAAGAGCACCCGAGAAAGGAUGACAGAGAAUCGUCCAGGAGAGGACAGGAGAGAAUCGUCCUGAGAAAAGACAGCAGAGAAUCUUCCAGAAAAGGACAGCAGAGAAUCAUCCAGGGACAGCAGAGAAUCGUCCAGAAGGGGACGGCAGAGAAUCAUCCCAAGAAAGGCCACAGAGGAGGAUGUCAGAGAAUCAUCCCGGUCUUUGCAACCAGCAACGUUAUCGCCCUGGCCCGGGA